AGAGUUUGAUCCUGGCUCAGGACGAACGCUGGCGGCGUGCUUAACACAUGCAAGUCGAACGCUGAAGCCUGGCUUUUGUUGGGUGGAUGAGUGGCGAACGGGUGAGUAACACGUGAGUAACCUGCCCCCUUCUUUGGGAUAACGCCCGGAAACGGGUGCUAAUACUGGAUAUUCACUGGCCUUCGCAUGGGGGUUGGUGGAAAGGGUUUUCUGGUGGGGGAUGGGCUCGCGGCCUAUCAGCUUGUUGGUGGGGUGAUGGCCUACCAAGGCUUUGACGGGUAGCCGGCCUGAGAGGGUGACCGGUCACAUUGGGACUGAGAUACGGCCCAGACUCCUACGGGAGGCAGCAGUGGGGAAUAUUGCACAAUGGGCGCAAGCCUGAUGCAGCGACGCCGCGUGAGGGAUGGAGGCCUUCGGGUUGUGAACCUCUUUCGCUCAUGGUCAAGCCGCAACAAUGGUUGUGGUGAGGGUAGUGGGUAAAGAAGCGCCGGCUAACUACGUGCCAGCAGCCGCGGUAAUACGUAGGGCGCGAGCGUUGUCCGGAAUUAUUGGGCGUAAAGGGCUUGUAGGCGGUUGGUCGCGUCUGCCGUGAAAUCCUCUGGCUUAACUGGGGGCGUGCGGUGGGUACGGGCUGACUUGAGUGCGGUAGGGGAGACUGGAACUCCUGGUGUAGCGGUGGAAUGCGCAGAUAUCAGGAAGAACACCGGUGGCGAAGGCGGGUCUCUGGGCCGUUACUGACGCUGAGGAGCGAAAGCGUGGGGAGCGAACAGGAUUAGAUACCCUGGUAGUCCACGCUGUAAAACGUUGGGCACUAGGUGUGGGGGCCACCCGUGGUUUCUGCGCCGUAGCUAAACGCUUUAAGUGCCCCGCCUGGGGAGUACGGCCGCAAGGCUAAAACUCAAAGGAAUUGACGGGGGCCCGCACAAGCGGCGGAGCAUGCGGAUUAAUUCGAAGCAACGCGAAGAACCUUACCAGGUCUUGACAUCUAGUGCCAUUUGUAGAGAUACAAAGUUCCCUUCGGGGACGCUAAGACAGGUGGUGCAUGGCUGUCGUCAGCUCGUGUCGUGAGAUGUUGGGUUAAGUCCCGCAACGAGCGCAACCCUUGUUAUUAGUUGCCAGCAUUAAGUUGGGCACUCUAAUGAGACUGCCGGUGACAAACCGGAGGAAGGUGGGGAUGACGUCAAGUCAUCAUGCCCCUUAUGACCUGGGCUACACACGUGCUACAAUGGGCAGUACAACGAGAAGCGAGCCUGCGAAGGCAAGCGAAUCUCUGAAAGCUGUUCUCAGUUCGGACUGCAGUCUGCAACUCGACUGCACGAAGCUGGAAUCGCUAGUAAUCGCGGAUCAGCACGCCGCGGUGAAUACGUUCCCGGGCCUUGUACACACCGCCCGUCAAG
rnacentral:rRNA from 1 species